UAGCUGUUAUCUCAGACAGAAACAGAGACAGUGACAGUAGCUGUUAUCUCAGACAGAAACAGAGACAGAGACAGUAGUUGUUAUCUCAGACAGAAACAGAGACAGGGACAGUAGUUGUUAUCUCAGACAGAAACAGUGACAGGGACAGUAGCUGUUAUCUCAGACAGAAACAGGGACAGUAGCUGUUAUCUCUGACAGGGACAGAGACAGUAGCUGUUAUCUCAGACAGAAACAGAGACAGGGACAGGGACAGUAGCUGUUAUCUCUGACAGAGACAUGGACAGUAGCUGUUAUCUCUGACAGAAACAGAGACAGUGACAGUAGCUGUUAUCUCUGACAGAAACAGAGACAAUGACAGUAGCUGUUAUCUCUGACAGAGACAUGGACAGUAGCUGUUAUCUCUGACAGAAACAGAGACAGUGACAGUAACUGUUAUCUCAGACAGAAACAAAGACAGGGACAGUAGCUGUUAUCUCUGACAGAAACAGAGACAGUGACAAUAGUUGUUAUCUCAGACAGAAACAGAGACAGGGACAGUAGCUGUUAUCUCUGACAGGUACAGAGACAGUAGCUGUUAUCUCUGACAGGGACAGAGAUAGUAGCUGUUAUCUCAGACAGAAACAAUGACAGGGACAGUAGCUGUUAUCUCUGACAGGGACAGAGACAGUAGCUGUUAUCUCUGACAGAAACAGUGACAGUGACAGUAGCUGUUAUCUCAGACAGAAACAGUGACAGUAGCUGUUAUCUCAGACAGAAACAAUGACAGGGACAGUAGCUGUUAUCUCUGACAGGGACAGAGACAGUAGCUGUUAUCUCUGACAGGGACAGAAACAGAGACAGGGACAAUAGUUGUUAUCUCAGACAGAAACAGAGACAGGGACAGUAGCUGUUAUCUCAGACAGAAACAGGGACAGUAGCUGUUAUCUCUGACAGGGACAGAGACAGUAGCUGUUAUCUCUGACAGGGACAGAAACAGAGACAGUGACAGUAGCUGUUAUCUCUGACAGGGACAGAAACAGAGACAGGGACAAUAGUUGUUAUCUCAGACAGAAACAGAGACAGGGACAGUAGCUGUUAUCUCAGACAGAAACAGAGACAGUGACAGUAGCUGUUAUCUCAGACAGAAACAGAGACAGGGACAGUAGCUGUUAUCUCUGACAGAGACAUGGACAGUAGCUGUUAUCUCUGACAGGGACAGAAACAGAGACAGGGACAAUAGUUGUUAUCUCAGACAGAAACAGAGACAGGGACAGUAGCUGUUAUCUCAGACAGAAACAGGGACAGUAGCUGUUAUCUCAGACAGAAACAGAGACAGGGACAGUAGCUGUUGUCUCAGAGAGAAACAGGGACAGUAGCUGUUAUCUCAGACAGAAACAAUGACAGUAGCUGUUAUCUCAGACAGAAACAAUGACAGGGACAGUAACUGUUAUCUCAGACAGAAACAGAGACAGGGACAGUAGAUGUUAUCUCUGACAGAGACAUGGACAGUAGCUGUUAUCUCAGACAGAAACAGAGACAGGGACAGUAGAUGUUAUCUCAGACAGAAACAGAGACAGGGACAGUAGAUGUUAUCUCUGACAGAAACAGUGACAGGGACAGUAACUGUUAUCUCUGACAGAAACAGAGACAGGGACAGUAGAUGUUAUCUCUGACAGAAACAGUGACAGGGACAGUAACUGUUAUCUCAGACAGAAACAGAGACAGGGACAGUAGAUGUUAUCUCUGACAGAAACAGUGACAGGGACAGUAACUGUUAUCUCUGACAGAAACAGAGACAGUGACAGUAGCUGUUGUCUCAGAGAGAAACAGGGACAGUAGCUGUUAUCUCAGACAGAAACAAUGACAGUAGCUGUUAUCUCAGACAGAAACAAUGACAGGGACAGUAACUGUUAUCUCAGACAGAAACAGAGACAGGGACAGUAGAUGUUAUCUCUGACAGAGACAUGGACAGUAGCUGUUAUCUCAGACAGAAACAGAGACAGGGACAGUAGAUGUUAUCUCAGACAGAAACAGAGACAGGGACAGUAGAUGUUAUCUCUGACAGAAACAGUGACAGGGACAGUAACUGUUAUCUCUGACAGAAACAGAGACAGGGACAGUAGAUGUUAUCUCUGACAGAAACAGUGACAGGGACAGUAACUGUUAUCUCAGACAGAAACAGAGACAGGGACAGUAGAUGUUAUCUCUGACAGAAACAGAGACAGGGACAGUAGAUGUUAUCUCUGACAGAAACAGUGACAAUGACAGUAGCUGUUAUCUCAGACAGAAACAGAGACAGAGACAGUAGAUGUUAUCUCUGACAGAAACAGAGACAGGGACAGUAACUGUUAUCUCUGACAGAAACAGAGACAGGGACAGUAGAUGUUAUCUCUGACAGAAACAGUGACAAUGACAGUAGCUGUUAUCUCAGACAGAAACAGAGACAGAGACAGUAGAUGUUAUCUCUGACAGAAACAGUGACAGGGACAGUAACUGUUAUCUCAGACAGAAACAGAGACAGGGACAGUAGAUGUUAUCUCUGACAGAAACAGUGACAAUGACAGUAGCUGUUAUCUCAGACAGAAACAGAGACAGGGACAGUAGAUGUUAUCUCUGACAGAAACAGUGACAAUGACAGUAGCUGUUAUCUCAGACAGAAACAGAGACAGAGACAGUAGAUGUUAUCUCUGACAGAAACAGUGACAGGGACAGUAACUGUUAUCUCAGACAGAAACAAUGACAGGGACAGGGACAUUAGCUGUUAUCUCAGACAGAAACAGGGACCAUAUCUCCCUACACACUGCAUUUAUACUGCUUGCAUCCCAAAGAGUACCCUGUUCCCUAUAUAGUGCAUUACUUUUGACCAGAGAGUUGUGCACUAUAUAGGGAAUAGGGUUCCAUUUGGAACAUAGACCAUCCAUACUCUGACAUGUUUAUUCAUGGGACCAAGCCCAACUUCAUAAUAGUCACAACCGUGCCCUCCCUUGCUUCUUCCUCCCUCCGCUUCCCUCUUCUCCCCUACUGCCCCCCCCCCCCCCCCCCCCCACCCCCCCUCUCUCUCUCCCCUCUUUUUCCCUAAUGCAAAUAACUGAAAGCUUUAUUGGCAUAAGAGGUCAGAGCAGUUUGCCAAAGGAUUAGCUAAUUAUUGUUCUUGGUCUGACCCGGGUUGUUUGUCCUUGUCAUUUCCCCGGUUCCUCCAUCCCUCGGUGUCCAUCUUAUUGUUUGACAUCGCUCCUCCUGACAAAUUUAAAGGGUUGUGGGGGGCGAUGCGUCAGUGUAUUGGAAAGGUGCCGAGCGUACCGUUGACAUAUUGAGAUGAAAUGUUGUGUACUGUACUUUAAGGGUACUUCACUAUAUUGUAGUCUACGUUGUUGAAGGUACGUUUACUUAGUGCCUGUAGAGGACAAUUCUUCCUGUGUGUUUAGUUCUCUGAAUCCUUGUUCAGGUACUGAUGCUCUGGUACCAAAAUAUAGAUUGGAUCCUCUAGGUCAGGUUCCCGGAUAGAUACUAUGUCUAGGUUUAAUCUGGGUCAGGUUCCUGGGUCAGGUUCCUUGACUGGUCAGUAGAUGUUAAGGUGUGCUCAGCCAGACGGCCUCCCCUAAAGCUAGGUUUAAUCUGGGUCAGGUUCCUGGGUCAGGUUCCUUGACUAGUCAGUAGAUGAUAAGGUGUGCUCAGCCAGACGGCCUCCCCUAAAGCUAGUUUUAAUCUGGGUCAGGUUCCUGGGUCAGGUUCCUUGACUAGUCAGUAGAUGAUAAAGUGUGCUCAGCCAGACGACCUCCCCUAAAGCUAGGUUUAAUCUGGGUCAGGUUCCUUGGUCAGGUUCCUUGACUAGUCAGUAGAUGAUAAGGUGUGCUCAGCCAGACGACCUCCCCUAAAGCUAGGUUUAAUCUGGAUCAGGUUCCUGGGUCAGGUGCCUUGACUAGUCAGUAGAUGAUAAAGUGUGCUCAGCCAGACGACCUCCCCUAAAGCUAGGUUUAAUCUGGGUCAGGUUCCUGGGUCAGGUUCCUUGACUAGUCAGUAGAUGAUAAAGUGUGCUCAGCCAGACGACCUCCCCUAAAGCUAGGUUUAAUCUGGGUCAGGUUCCUGGGUCAGGUGCCUUGACUAGUCAGUAGAUGAUAAAGUGUGCUCAGCCAGACGACCUCCCCUAAAGCUAGGUUUAAUCUGGGUCAGGUUCCUGGGUCAGGUUCCUUGACUAGUCAGUAGAUGAUAAAGUGUGCUCAGCCAGACGACCUCCCCUAAAGCUAGGUUUAAUCUGGGUCAGGUUCCUGGGUCAGGUUCCUUGACUAGUCAGUAGAUGAUAAGGUGUGCUCAGCCAGACGACCUCCCCUAAAGCUAGGUUUAAUCUGGGUCAGGUUCCUGGGUCAGGUUCCUUGACUAGUCAGUAGAUGAUAAAGUGUGCUCAGCCAGACAACCUCCCCUAAAGCUAGGUUUAAUCUGGGUCAGGUUCCUGGGUCAGGUUCCUUGACUAGUCAGUAGAUGAUAAGGUGUGCUCAGCCAGACGACCUCCCCUAAAGCUAGGUUUAAUCUGGGUCAGGUUCCUUGACUAGUCAGUAGAUGAUAAGGUGUGCUCAGCCAGACGACCUCCCCUAAAGCUCACCCCUUCAGUUGUUUUAUUAGGCAUCUGGUGUAAAAACCCUCAUGGUGUGACUACUCCCUAUCAGAUAUGCAGUGAAAGCAUUAUUCUGAAUGCUAUCUAACUGAAUAUAUAUAAAAAAAAAAAACAAUAACAAAGUAAUAAUAUUUUGGGGGUUUCCAUUUUGACUGUUGGUCUGUGUUUGUGUACAGUACGUGUGUGUUUGGUGUUCCUGUGUUUAAGGGUUUUGUUUCUCUCUGUUUUUUUUUUUGAGAAGAAAAAAAAAAGGAGAAAAAAAAAGUUUGUUUCUGUACAUAUUGUUGUUGAAAAAUGAUGAGCUAUUUGUUUGCUGUACGCUGCAAUACGUUUCAACCUUUCCGUCACCUGAACAGGCGGAGGAAUCGUCAAUAAUAUUCCAGAUGACGCUGAUUAUAACUGCCCUUCUUGAACAAGGGCUCUCUUGA